GGCUAACUCCGUUCCAGCAGCCGAGGUAAUACGGGGGGUGCUAGCGUUGUCCGGAAUCACUGGGCGUAAAGGGCGCGUAGGUGGUUUGAUAAGGGUGUGGUGAAAGUCCGGGGCUCAACCCCGGAUCUGCCGUGCCGACUGUCAAACUCGAGGGCUGUAGAGGCAGACGGAAUUCCGGGUGUAGCGGUGGAAUGCGUAGAGAUCCGGAGGAAGACCGGUGGCGAAGGCGGUCUGCUGGGCAGUUUCUGACACUGAUGCGCGACAGCGUGGGGAGCAAACAGGAUUAGAUACCCUGGUAGUCCACGCCGUAAACGAUGGGUACUAGGUGCCUGGGGGAGCGACCCUCUGGGUGCCGGCGCUAACGCAGGAAGUACCCCGCCUGGGGAGUACGACCGCAAGGUUGAAACUCAAAGGAAUUGACG
rnacentral:rRNA from 1 species